GAGAGUUUGAUCCUGGCUCAGAACGAACGCUGGCGGCAGGCUUAACACAUGCAAGUCGAACGAACUCUUCGGAGUUAGUGGCAGACGGGUGAGUAACGCGUGGGAAUAUACCUUUCGGUACGGAACAACAGUUGGAAACGACUGCUAAUACCGUAUGCGCCCUAUGGGGGAAAGAUUUAUCGCCGAAGGAUUAGCCCGCGUUGGAUUAGCUAGUUGGUGGGGUAAAGGCCUACCAAGGCGACGAUCCAUAGCUGGUCUGAGAGGAUGAUCAGCCACACUGGGACUGAGACACGGCCCAGACUCCUACGGGAGGCAGCAGUGAGGAAUAUUGGUCAAUGGACGAAAGUCUGAACCAGCCAUGCCGCGUGCAGGAUGACGGCCCUAUGGGUUGUAAACUGCUUUUAUACGGGAAGAAACGCACCUACGUGUAGGUGUCUGACGGUACCGUAAGAAUAAGGACCGGCUAACUCCGUGCCAGCAGCCGCGGUAAUAC
rnacentral:rRNA from 13 species